rnacentral:tRNA from 1 species
GUGAGUAUAGCUCAGUGGUAGAGUGCAUGCUUAGCAUGCACAAGGUUCUGGGUUCAUUCCCCAGUAACUCCA